rfam:Nematostella vectensis strain CH2 x CH6 NEMVEscaffold_5755_Cont50269, whole genome shotgun sequence.
CAAACGGCUCUUUUAAGAGCCACCACAUGAUCAAAAGUCCAAUAUC